rnacentral:rRNA from 1 species
GACGAACGCUGGCGGCGUGCUUAACACAUGCAAGUCGAACGAUGAAGCCGGAGCUUGCUCUGGUGAAUUAGUGGCGAACGGGAGAGUAACACGUGAGUAACCUGCCCUUGACUCUGGGAUAACUGCUAGAAAUGGUAGCUAAUACCGGAUACGACCCUCGGAGGCAUCUCCAGGGGGUGGAAAGAAUCUCGGUCAAGGAUGGACUCGCGGCCUAUCAGCUAGUUGGUGAGGUAAUGGCUCACCAAGGCGACGACGGGUAGCCGGCCUGAGAGGGUGACCGGCCACACUGGGACUGAGACACGGCCCAGACUCCUACGGGAGGCAGCAGUGGGGAAUAUUGCACAAUGGGCGCAAGCCUGAUGCAGCAACGCCGCGUGAGGGAUGCCGGCCUUCGGGUUGUAAACCUCUUUUAGUAGGGAAGAAGCGAAAGUGACGGUACCUGCAGAAAAAGCACCGGCUAACUACGUGCCAGCAGCCGCCGUAA